GGGGCCGUAGCUCAGUCGGGAGAGCGCCUGCUUUGCAAGCAGGAGGUCACCGGUUCGAUCCCGGUAGGCUCCA
rnacentral:tRNA from 1 species